rnacentral:rRNA from 1 species
AUUGAACGCUGGCGGCAGGCCUAACACAUGCAAGUCGAGCGAGCGGCGGACGGGUGAGUAAUGUAUGGGGACUGCCCGAUAGAGGGGGAUAACUACUGGAAACGGUGGCUAAUACCGCAUACUGUCGGAUAACCCAUAUGGGAUUAGCUAGUAGGUAAGGUAAUGGCUUACCUAGGCGACGAUACCUAGCUGGUCUGUGAGGAUAAUCAGCCACACAGGGACUGAGACACGGCCGAGAAUCCUACGGAGGCAGCAGGGGGGAAUAUUGCACAAGGGGCGAAAGCCGGAUGCAGCCAUGCGGCGUGUAUGAAGAAGGCCCUAGGGUUGUAAAAUACGUUCAGUCGGGAGGCGUUACCGAAAUGUGAAUCACCUGCUAACUCCGUGCCAGCAGGCGCGGUAAUAC